ACUGUUCUUCGAACAGUGGUAGGAGAGCGUUCUAAGGGCUGUGAAGCAAGACCGGAAGGACUUGUGGAGCGCUUAGAAGUGAGAAUGCCGGUAUGAGUAGCGAAAGAGGGGUGAGAAUCCCCUCCACCGAAUGCCUAAGGUUUCCUGAGGAAGGCUCGUCCGCUCAGGGUUAGUCGGGACCUAAGCCGAGGCCGAAAGGCGUAGGCGAUGGAUAAC
rnacentral:rRNA from 1 species